rnacentral:snoRNA from 1 species
GGGGGCAAGUGAUGUGAAUUUAUUUAUCCUGCACUCUGAAUUUUGAUGUAGAUUGACAAACUCCGCUUAUUGACUGAUGCUCUC